AACAUCGCGCACCUGCGGGAACCUGCGGAAGGAUCAUUAUCGAGUUUACAACUCCCAAACCCCUGUGAACAUACCAAUCGUUGCCUCGGCGGGACCGCCCCGGCGCCCCCGGGCCCGGACCCAGGCGCCCGCCGGAGGACCCCCAAACUCACUUGAUUCCACGGUGUAUCUUCUGAGUGACACAAGCAAAUAAAAUCAAAACUUUUAACAAUGGAUCU
rnacentral:misc_RNA from 1 species